rnacentral:lncRNA from 1 species
AAAAUGUCUCAAGUCACUAGAGGAAGGAGGACUGAGAACCUCAGCAGAGUUGCCACAGGCUGCCAGGGCAUGAAGGGGCAGAAUUCACAAUUUGCACUUUCUCCAGGAGGAUGAAGGCAAGGUCAGAGGGCUCUCACCAGCCUGGGCCCCUCCCUGUAGGUGCAGUUGGGAAGCAAGCCAGUGUGGAUGGCUGCUGUGUGAGAAGAUGGCUUGAGGAAACAGGACCACUUUGUUGAGAGAGAAACUGGGUGAGAUGCGAGUGAUCUAAGGUGGCUGCAUACUGAAAACAUCAGUCAGAGUGAAUGUACUGAUCAGGGAAGCACUCCAACAAGGGAACAAGAAUUUAUCUUCGCUCACUAGUGGGAGAAAAGAAAGAUAUUAUUCUCCCUUCGAAGUUUAAGAAGGCAUUUUUGUGGUGCUCUGAAAAAAUAAAAGAUAAAAUCAGCCUUAUUUAUUGUAAAUUUCUGGGAAUAAAGGAUACAUCUUGUUUUAACAAAAUUUGGAGGCCUCUUUCUGUUUUAU